rnacentral:rRNA from 1 species
CAGUAGCCGCGGUAAUACGUAGGGUGCAAGCGUUAAUCGGAAUUACUGGGCGUAAAGCGUGCGUAGGUGGUGGUUUAAGUCCGUUGUGAAAGCCCUGGGCUCAACCUGGGAAUUGCAGUGGAUACUGGGUCACUAGAGUGUGGUAGAGGAUAGUGGAAUUUCCGGUGUAGCAGUGAAAUGCGUAGAGAUCGGAAGGAACAUCUGUGGCGAAGGCGACUAUCUGGGCCAACACUGACACUGAGGCACGAAAGCGUGGGGAGCAAACAGGAUUAGAUACCCCAGUAGUCCCUGUCUCUUAUAC